rnacentral:rRNA from 1 species
GACGAACGCUGGCGGCGUGCUUAACACAUGCAAGUCGAACGGAAAGGCCCUGCUUUUGUGGGGUGCUCGAGUGGCGAACGGGUGAGUAACACGUGAGUAUCCUGCCCUUGACUUUGGGAUAACUUCAGGAAACUGGGGCUAAUACCGGAUAGGAGCUCCUGCUGCAUGGUGGGGGUUGGAAAGUUUCGGCGGUUGGGGAUGGACUCGCGGCUUAUCAGCUUGUUGGUGGGGUAGUGGCUUACCAAGGCUUUGACGGGUAGCCGGCCUGAGAGGGUGACCGGCCACAUUGGGACUGAGAUUCGGCCCAGACUCCUACGGGAGGCAGCAGUGGGGAAUAUUGCACAAUGGGCGGAAGCCUGAUGCAGCAACGCCGCGUGCGGGAUGACGGCCUUCGGGUUGUAAACCGCUUUCGCCUGUGACGAAGCGUGAGUGACGGUAAUGGGUAAAGAAGCACCGGCUAACUACGUG